rnacentral:rRNA from 1 species
AGCAGCCGCGGUAAUUCCAGCUCCAAUAGCGUAUAUUAAAGUUGUUGCAGUUAAAAAGCUCGUAGUUGAAUUUCGGGACCAUCAUGUCGGUCGUGCCUCGGUACGUACUGGCAUUGUUGGUUUCUCCCUUCUGACGAACCAUGAUGUCAUUUAUUUGGUGUUGUGGGAAAUCAGGACUGUUACUUUGAAAAAUUAGAGUGUUUAAAGCAGGCUCACGCUUGAAUACAUUAGCAUGGAAUAAUGAAAUAGGACGUUUGAUUCUAUUUUGUUGGUUUCUAGGAUCGACGUAAUGAUUAAUAGGGAUAGUUGGGGGCAUUAGUAUUCAAUUGUCAGAGGUGAAAUUCUUGGAUUUAUUGAAGACUAACUACUGCGAAAGCAUUUGCCAAGGAUGUUUUCAUUAAUCAAGAACGAAAGUUAGGGGAUCGAAGACGAUCAGAUACCGUCGUAGUCUUAACCAUAAACUAUGCCGACUAGGGAUCGGAUGAUGUUAAUUU